AGCUUCCUCUAGAGGUGCCUGCAUGUACCCGUGUGAUUGACACCACGGCUUUGGACGUGCGGCUUUCUCGAAAGCAUCCUUGGGCUCCCGGGACCUUUGCUCCUGCAGCCACUCAAGAUGGUGCAGGUGAUGAGCACCAGGGGGCGCCCGACGGAGGAGGAAGCCAAACCCAGAUGGCGGUUGUAAGUCUAGCCCAACGAUAGGAGCGGGAAGUGCUGAAACGUGCGCAACCGCGCCGAGCGCGCGCGCUCCGCUCAGUCUCGGGCCCCCGAGCCCGCUGGGCACCCGCUCGGGAGCGCACGGCGCGUGCGGCCGCACAGGGAGGACAGCGGUUGGAAGCAGGCGGACAUUCCUGUGACACACGGUUAUUACCUAAAGACAGACAACAUCCCAAAAAAGACUGACUAAGAUGUUUUCAAGUGGACAGGUCCUCUCAAGAAGCAUCUUCUGGUCAUCAGAUUACAUGAACGGAACAUCAUGUAAAAAUAAGGCACCAGGGACAGUCAAUGUUGUGUCGAAUAAAGUCUGACCUGCUUAAUCCUGACAAGAGUCCACUGCACAGUUAAAAAUUGACAGUAGUCGCCGAACUCGCAGUGGCAAUUUGAGUGACUGAAUCUAAACGAGGCCAGCAGUCCU